GGAGGUUUAGCUCAGCUGGGAGAGCAUCUGCCUUGCAAGCAGAGGGUCAGCGGUUCGAAUCCCCGUUAACCUCCA
rnacentral:tRNA from 1 species